CUAUGCGCCUUGCCAGCCCGCUCAGGUGUGCCAGCAGCCGCGGUAAUACGGAGGAUGCGAGCGUUAUCCGGAUUUAUUGGGUUUAAAGGGUGCGUAGGUGGUUAAUUAAGUCAGCGGUGAAAGUUUGUGGCUCAACCAUAAAAUUGCCGUUGAAACUGGUUGACUUGAGUAUAUUUGAGGUAGGCGGAAUGCGUGGUGUAGCGGUGAAAUGCAUAGAUAUCACGCAGAACUCCGAUUGCGAAGGCAGCUUACUAAACUAUAACUGACACUGAAGCACGAAAGCAUGGGGAUCAAACAGG
rnacentral:rRNA from 1 species